rnacentral:rRNA from 1 species
UACGUAGGGGGCGAGCGUUGUCCGGAUUCAUUGGGCGUAAAGAGCUCGUAGGCGGCUUGGUAAGUCGGGUGUGAAACCUCCAGGCUCAACCUGGAGACGCCACUCGAUACUGCCAUGGCUAGAGUCCGGUAGGGGCCCACGGAAUUCCUGGUGUAGCGGUGAAAUGCGCAGAUAUCAGGAGGAACACCAAUGGCGAAGGCAGCUCGCUGGGACGGUACUGACGCUGAGACGCGAAAGCGUGGGGAGCGAACAGG